ensembl:lncRNA
GGGAAAUGAGAUUUAAGGAAGUUCGUUAUCACCGAGCAGGCCACGCUUCUCAAAUUUCUCUUACUGAAUCUAGGCCUCCAGGGACCUAAGGAAGCUUUCUGGAUAAAGAAACCAGCGCUGCUCCAUCCCAAAGAAGAGUGAUUUCCUGAGGUGAGGGUUCAUUCCGGGGAACCCAGGUGUUGCUGAUUCGUGGCAGCAAGGGGCCUCGCCUUGCCUGUAGAAAGCAGUGGUAUCAGUGUCGGUAUCAGACUUCACCUUGGCCUGAGGUGAGUGCUGCUCCCAGAACAGCUGCCCCAGUUCUCUCCAUGUGACCUGAGAUGUUGGUGACUCCAGCUCCAGGAAGUGGCCUGUGAAUCAGAGGGUAAAACCAGAAGAUUUCACUUAUACAGAUCCAAUGACUGUAUCUUUAUAAGAGAAAAGAGAGGAAGAUUUGGACACAAAGACACAGAAGAGAAGAUGCCAUGAAGAUGGAGGCAGAGAUCAGAGUAAUAGAGCUGACCAGCUGAGGGAUACCAGGAACCACUAGAAGUUUCAGGAAUUCGGGCUUCCCAGGUGACGCUAGUGGUAAAGAACCCAGAUGCCAAUGCAGGAGACAUAAGAGACAUGAGUUCAAUCCCUGGGUUGAGAAGAUUCCCCUGGAGAGGGAAAUGGCAACCCACUCCACUAUUUCUGCCUGAGAAAUCCUAUGGAC